rnacentral:rRNA from 1 species
GACGAACGCUGGCGGCGUGCUUAACACAUGCAAGUCGAACGGAAAGGCCUGCUUUCCCUUGUGGAUUGCGGGUACUCGAGUGGCGAACGGGUGAGUAACACGUGAGUGAUCUGCCCCCAACUUGGGUAUAAGCCUGGGAAACUGGGUCUAAUUCCCGAUAGGACUGCAGGGUGGUGCCUGUGGUGGAAAACGAUUUUCUAGUGGUUGGGGAUGAGCUCGCGGCCUAUCAGCUUGUUGGUGGGGUAAUGGCCUACCAAGGCCGCGACGGGUAGCCGGCCUGAGAGGGUGGACGGCCACAUUGGGACCGAGAUACGGCCCAGACUCCUACGGGAGGCAGCAGUGGGGAAUAUUGCACAAUGGGCGGAAGCCUGAUGCAGCGACGCCGCGUGGGGGAUGACGGCCUUCGGGUUGUAAACUCCUUUCGGCCGCGAGGAAGCCACCUGGUUGGAAGGGUGGUGACGGUAGUGGUAGAAGAAGCACCGGCUAACUACGUG